rnacentral:rRNA from 1 species
UACAGAGGGUGCGAGCGUUAAUCGGAAUUACUGGGCGUAAAGCGCACGUAGGUGGCGACGUAAGUCGGGUGUGAAAGCCCCGGGCUCAACCUGGGAAUUGCAUUCGAGACUGCAUUGCUGGAGUACGGAAGAGGAAGGCGGAAUUCCCGGUGUAGCGGUGAAAUGCGUAGAUAUCGGGAGGAACAUCAGUGGCGAAGGCGGCCUUCUGGUCCAGUACUGACACUCAAGUGCGAAAGCCAGGGGAGCAAACGGG